UAUCACGUUUGCAUGGCAAGAACUUUGCCCACAGAACCAUCUUUCUAGUUCCUCCUGCCGCGGCUUUUCUCACAAGAAAAGGGCCAGAAGCCAAGGACUUUGCUAGUCUUUGAGAGAACAGCCAGGAGGAGAGAAUUUUUGACAACUGAAUAGGAACCAGAUAGAAGCUAUUGUCAAAAGGCUUCCUUCCUUCCUAGGAGCCGGGCUUUACUCAGUACUCAUGAGGACACCCUGGCCUGUCUCAUUCAUGGGGUAGUUUGGAGGAGGCUGAGAUCCUCGGGGAUGGACCAGAGGUGCUGCUAUCAGAAUGUGAGGUUGUGGAGCUGCCCGGAGGAGUGUAUGAAACCCAGAAACGCUUCUGAUUUGUUUGGAGCAAAGCUGUGCUUAGAAAAGGUUCUGUUGUGGUGAGAAUGAACACAAACCAUCAUAUGACCUAACCAGAAGGGCCAUCCUGAGCUGUGGAGUGAUUGAAUGCCUCCAUCCCUGUAACUCCAUAUAAUAUGGUGGCUGGAAGAGAGAGAGUCUCUUCAAUCUGUUGGCCUACAGUUCACCUUUUUCCCCUGCCUUGUACCCUGGGCCUCACAUCUGGCAGAGUCAGCAGGAUCCUGAAGAGGUGGACUGAAGCCCUGAAAUGCUGGAAACGGAACAGAUGGAGGCCAAGAAUGUUUCGACUGUGCUGAAAGCUGGCCUCGAAGGCACUUUGCUGUGAGAAGCCAAAGUGCGAGUUGAGAGCCAAGGGAAAACCUCAGUGUGUGAUUUAGAGCACUAAGUCCCUUUUAUCAAAUGGGAGGCAAUGUAGACGAAGCCCCAGGGAGUCAGUCAUUGCCUGGUUUCUGAACCCCUGGGAUAAGGGGGCGGGGAGAGAAUGUCUCGUUAACUGUGAAACAGAUGGAGAAAUUGACCUCUAUCACCACCCAUCCCUCUUUAAGGAAGUGCCUACAGGUUCCAAGGCCACAAAACUGGGGAGAACAGUUGCUAAUGAGCUGGCCGAUAGCCAGAGUAUGUCUGGUAUGGACCAAUACUGGCAAAUUGUCAGAGACUGUGAGUAAAUAAACCACCUACUUGUACUUAAUACUGAUAGUCUGAUGGUAUGACAAAACCAUGCCAAGCUCACCAAAUAGAACAGUUUCUCUUGGAGGACGUGCUCUUGAGAAGGGAGGCUGCCCUGUGUGGGAAACAAUGGGCCUCAGCAUGGGGUUCUCUUCAUGACUGAGUGCAUUCUAGGGGUGAAGCCUAGGUCCUCAGUUAGGGAGGACUCCAGAUGAUUGGAUCCUUUAAGUUGAUCUCACUAUUCAUUGACCCCCCCCCCAUCCACUAAUGUACAAAGGGGUGUUAACCCUUAUUGACAUUGGAGCUGACUGUAUUUUGGUCUGUGGGAACCUAGACUUGGGGUGUACAUGCAUGACCAAGGCCUAAUGAGGCCUUGUUGGAGGAAGUAUAUCACUGUGGGGGUGGGCUUUGAAGAUUUUUUUCUUAAACUUUCCUCAGUGUGACAGUCAGUCGACUUCCUGUUGUCUCUGAGUCAAAAUGGAGUACUCUCAGCUCAGGCACCACAUGGUAGCAUGCCUGCCUGCUACAGUGUUGCCUGUCAUGAUGAUAAUGGACUGAACCUCUGAAAACUAUAAGCCAGCCACCUCAAUUAAAUGUUUUCCUUAUAAGA